rnacentral:rRNA from 1 species
AGAGUUUGAUCCUGGCUCAGAACGAACGCUGGCGGCAGGCUUAACACAUGCAAGUUGAACGGGAUUUGUGUGGUGCUUGCACCAUAUAAUGAGAGUAGCGCACUGGUGAGUAACACGUGGGAACGUACCUUUUGGUGGGGGACAACAUCUGGAAACGGAUGCUAAUACCGCAUAAGACCUGAGGGUGAAAGAUUUAUCGCCGAAAGAACGGCCCGCGGAAGAUUAGGCAGUUGGUGGGGUAAAGGCCUACCAAACCUACGAUCUAUAGCUGGUCUGAGAGGACGAUCAGCCACACUGGAACUGAGACACGGUCCAGACUCCUACGGGAGGCAGCAGUGAGGAAUAUUGGGCAAUGGAGGCAACUCUGACCCAGCCAUGCCGCGUGAGUGAAGAAGGUUUUCGGAUUGUAAAGCUCUUUCGGAUGUGACGAUGAUGACGGUAGCAUCUAAAGAAGCCCCGGCUAACUUCGUGCCAGCAGCCGCGGUAAUACGAAGGGGGCGAGCGUUGUUCGGAAUUACUGGGCGUAAAGGGUGUGUAGGCGGUUAUGUAAGAUAGCGGUGAAAUCCCGGGGCUUAACCUCGGAAUAGCCGUUAUAACUAUGUAGCUAGAGUUAUGGAGAGGAUAGCGGAAUACCCAGUGUAGAGGUGAAAUUCGUAGAUAUUGGGUAGAACACCGGUGGCGAAGGCGGCUAUCUGGCCAUAUACUGACGCUGAGGCACGAAAGCAUGGGGAUCAAACAGGAUUAGAUACCCUGGUAGUCCAUGCCGUAAACGAUGAAUGCUGGUUGUCGGCUUUAGGGUCGGUGACGAAGUUAACGCGAUAAGCAUUCCGCCUGGGGAGUACGGUCGCAAGAUUAAAACUCAAAGGAAUUGACGGGGACCCGCACAAGCGGUGGAGCAUGUGGUUUAAUU